rnacentral:rRNA from 1 species
GAUGAACGCUGGCGGCGUGCCUAAUACAUGCAAGUCGAGCGAACAGACGAGGAGCUUGCUCCUCUGACGUUAGCGGCGGACGGGUGAGUAACACGUGGAUAACCUACCUAUAAGACUGGGAUAACUUCGGGAAACCGGAGCUAAUACCGGAUAAUAUAUUGAACCGCAUGGUUCAAUAGUGAAAGACGGUUUUGCUGUCACUUAUAGAUGGAUCCGCGCCGCAUUAGCUAGUUGGUAAGGUAACGGCUUACCAAGGCAACGAUGCGUAGCCGACCUGAGAGGGUGAUCGGCCACACUGGAACUGAGACACGGUCCAGACUCCUACGGGAGGCAGCAGUAGGGAAUCUGCCGCAAUGGGCGAAAGCCUAACGGAGCAACGCCGCGUGAGUGAUGAAGGUCUUCGGAUCGUAAAACUCUGUUAUUAGGGAAGAACAAAUGUGUAAGUAACUAUGCACGUCUUGACGGUACCUAAUCAGAAAGCCACGGCUAACUACGUG